GCUGGGUGUGGUGGCGCAUGCCUGUAGUCCCAGCUACUUGGGAGGCUGAGGCAGGAGAAUUGCUUGAAGCCAGGAGGCGAAGGGCGGAGGUUGUAGUGAGCUGAGAUCGCACCACUGCACUCUAGCCUGGAUGACAGAGCAAGACUCUGUCUCAA
ensembl:misc_RNA Metazoa_SRP Metazoan signal recognition particle RNA